rnacentral:rRNA from 1 species
UACGUAGGGUGCAAGCGUUGUCCGGAAUUAUUGGGCGUAAAGAGCUCGUAGGCGGUUUGUCGCGUCGAAUGUGAAAACCCGGGGCUCAACCCCGGGCCUGCAUUCGAUACGGGCAGACUAGAGUUCGGUAGGGGAGUCUGGAAUUCCUGGUGUAGCGGUGAAAUGCGCAGAUAUCAGGAGGAACACCGGUGGCUAAGGCGGGACUCUGGGCCGAUACUGACGCUGAGGAGCGAAAGCGUGGGGAGCGAACAGG